rnacentral:lncRNA from 1 species
CAAUUUAUUUAUUUUUUUUAUAUUUUUUGUUGAAUAGAAUUUGUAUCCCUUAGCAAUUUAUUUAUUUAUUGUCGAGUUCAAUUUUUAUCACUCACCAAUUUUAAAUUCAAAUCUAGGAAUUCAUUUAUUUUUGUUCAACUGAAUUUGUAUCACUUAGUAGUUUUUUACUCAAAUCUUCUUGAAUCAAUUUUUAUUCAAAUCUUCUUGAAUCGAAUUCGUAUCACUGCCUAGUUUUCUUUUCCCACCUUUUACCAGAAUUUGUAUCACUCAGCAAAGAAAAUUUUCAUUCAAAUCUUCUUUAAUUGAAUUUGUAUCACGGCCUGGUUUCUCUUUUCCCUCAUUUUACCAAGCUCGCACUCUAACAGGGUUUGUUGCUAAUUCAUUUUUUUUUUCUUUGAUGGGCACUUCCUGUGCUAUACUGUGAGAAUCAUUUUCUCCCUUCUAAAAACAUUAGUGAGAAAUCCUUGUCUGAACUUCGGAGGCAUGGCAUGAUGGCAAUGGCCAAUUGGCAACGUGUUCUUCUUCUUUUUUUUUGCUUGCUGCCAACUAGUAGUACACAACAGCACACAGCUCUCCAUCAUCUCUCUGGUUGCUGAUGCUAAGGACUUGUUUAGGCCUUGUUUAGUUUACCCAAAAACCAAAAUGUUUUCAAGAUUCUCUGCCACAUCGAAUCUUUCGGCACAUGCAUGAAACAUUAGAUAUAGACGAAAAUAAAAACUAAUUACAUAGUUUAACUAUAAAUCGUGAGACAAAUCUUUUGAUCCUAAUUAGUCCAUGAUUGAACAAUAUUUGUCACAAACAAACGAAAGUGUUACAGUAGCGAAAUCCAAAAUCUUUUCACAUCUAAACC